rnacentral:rRNA from 1 species
UCGCUAGUAAUCGCGAAUCAGAAUGUCGCGGUGAAUACGUUCCCGGGUCUUGUACACACCGCCCGUCACACCAUGGGAGUCGGAUAUGCCCGAAGUCAGUGACCCAACCAUAUGGAGGGAGCUGCCGAAGGUGGAGCCGAUAACUGGGGUGAAGUCGUAACAAGGUAAC